rnacentral:ncRNA from 1 species
UAAAGGUUUGGUCCUAGCCUUACUAUUAGCCAUUAACAGAUUUACACAUGCAAGUCUCCCCUUACCAGUGAGAAUGCCCUCUAAAUCAUGCAACUGAUUAAAAGGAGCUGGCAUCAAGCACGCCAACUAGCAGCUCAUAACGCCUUGCUCAACCACACCCCCACGGGAUACAGCAGUGAUAAAAAUUAAGCCAUGAACGAAAGUUUGACUAAGUUAUGUUAAUUAAGGGUUGGUAAAUUUCGUGCCAGCCACCGCGGUCAUACGAUUAACCCUAGUUAAUAGAUCAACGGCGUAAAACGUGUUUAAGACAUUAACAUCCAUUAAAGUUAAAAAAUAACCAAGCUGUAAAAAGCCGCUGUUAACAUAAAAUAGACUACGAAAGUGACUUUAUCAACUCUGAUCACACGAUAGCUAAGACCCAAACUGGGAUUAGAUACCCCACUAUGCUUAGCCAUAAACAUAAACAAUUCACACAACAAAAUUGUUCGCCAGAGGACUACUAGCAACAGCUUAAAACUCAAAGGACUUGGCGGUGCUUUAUAUCCCUCUAGAGGAGCCUGUUCUAUAAUCGAUAAACCCCGAUAAACCUCACCGUUUCUGGCUAAUUCAGUCUAUAUACCGCCAUCUUCAGCAAACCCUUAAAAGGAACAAAAGUAAGCAUAAUUAUAAGACAUAAAAAAGUUAGGUCAAGGUGUAACCUAUGGAACGGAAAGAAAUGGGCUACAUUUUCUUCAACAAGAACAUCCUAAAGUCCACGAAAGACUCUAUGAAACCAAGAGACAGAAGGAGGAUUUAGUAGUAAAUUAAAAAUAGAGAGCUUAAUUGAAUUGGGCCAUGAAGCACGCACACACCGCCCGUCACCCUCCUCAAGUAACUCUUCCCUAAACCAUAACAUAUUAUUCCUCACCCAAUACAAGAGGAGAUAAGUCGUAACAAGGUAAGUAUACUGGAAAGUGUGCUUGGAUAA